GAUAAGCCUGGGAAACUGGGUCUAAUACCGGAUAGGACCUCUCGGCGCAUGCCUAAGAGGUGGAAAGCUUUUGCGGUGUGGGAUGGGCCCGCGGCCUAUCAGCUUGUUGGUGGGGUGACGGCCUACCAAGGCGACGACGGGUAGCCGGCCUGAGAGGGUGUCCGGCCACACUGGGACUGAGAUACGGCCCAGACUCCUACGGGAGGCAGCAGUGGGGAAUAUUGCACAAU
rnacentral:rRNA from 1 species